rnacentral:lncRNA from 1 species
UGCAACUGGAAAAUAAAACAGUCAUAUCAGAUUUCAUACUUAUGCCAUACAUAUUUAUUAUAAUUUUAUUAUUUAUGAUCCUGCUACCUAAUUAAUUGGAAAUAAAAAUCAUUAAAUAUCAAAUAUUCUAAGAAUAAAAUUAUUGGUUGACAUGCCCUAUUUCAGGCAGAUUGUAAAUAAUUAUUCUGUUUAACUAGAUAACACAUUGUUACUUUAGUGUUAAUUUUUCAGCCAUUUGCAAAGUAGCAUUGAGAUAUAGUUAGUGGGGCCAUGAGGAGUAGCAGCUUGCAUGUGCCUUUAAGUGUUUUCAGGCUGACAGUAUUUUAUCCAUCCCAUAUAGACUAUAAUCUUUGGGCUUCUGCCACCUAGUUAUCUAUUCAAUAGAGAAAGUUUAAAAUAAUCGUUUAAUCAUGAUCCUGGCGUAGUUAGAAGACUAGUUAUCAGGUCCUCUCAAACAAAUAUAGGAUGAUUUUCUCACUAGACUGUGUCCUUGGUGGGUUCUUACGCUUCCACAAAGACCCAGAAACUACGUUCAUGCCCCACUUCCUGCCAGAGCAGCAUGGAGACGUGCACACGUGACCUGUGAGCCUUCAGAAUUCAGUGGAGAAAAAGUAGCAUUCAGGACAACUUUCUCAAAGAAUGUCUGGUCCACCCAUUGUUCCAGGUAUUUCAUAAUGAAAAUGGCAGAGGAUCAACGAUGGAUCAGCAAAGAUCCAUAACAGCAGCGUUGCUUUUAAGUGAGUUGCUCUUACUGUGACCUCGUCAUCUGUACUGAGGUUCGCUCCACGAGGAGCCCCGUGAAGCAAAGUAAUAAGUCAGUGGGAACUUGUCCAGAAGGUGCUAAUGGCCAAAAAUUCCUGGGCCAGGUGUGGAAUCUGUGCCACAGCAGUGGCAAUACUGGAUUCUUAACUGCCAGGACACCAGGGAAGUCCUUUUAUUUAUUUAUUUAAAAAAAAAAAAAAAAAAACCCAAGAGAUGUUUUUAUCGUUUAAAGAUCUUGAACAAUUUUUUUCGAAUUUCGAUGUCUUUGUCUUCUCUUGUCUCAUUCUCAAUUUUUGUUCACUUGUCAUAUAGUCAUUAUAAAUAUUUUCUGAAAUAAAAAUAUGUACAUACAGACAUGUAUAAAUAUAUAUAUAUCACUGUACACACAUAAUACAUAUAAUAUUAAUGUACAAUAUAUAAUGUUAUCAAAUAUAUGAUGAACCCCUCUAGAAACUCUCUCUAAUCAGGUUUUUGGCCUUUUUUUGAAGAAAGUGUCUUUAAUCAAAGAAAGAAAUCUACAAAGUGCAGUUUUACCCCAGUGGGAGGCACAGGGGAGAUUUAGCGGGUAGGAAGAAAGCCAGGUGACACUUGAAUUAUAAGUUAGCAGUUACCUAUCCCAUCUGAUCACUGUACCAUUCUAAUGUACACACAAUUCUCAAAACCAAUUUCAGUCUGGAUUUAAGGCAGGAAAUUGGAGCUCGGCCUUCUCACUUUGCUUCUCUUUUCGACCUAUCUUGGGUCAUCAUUAAGCUGGUAGCUCUCUUUUCUCAUAUUGUUUCCUCUUUUAUCUCUGCUUCAUAGUCAGGAACAGCCUACUCAAGAGAUCUCCUGGAUUUUAAAAAUUAAUCCAUACAUGAUUUUUUAAGGACAUUUACUCUGUAGGCAGCAUAAGGCUAGACUUGGAGGACUAUUGACAAGUCCAAGGCAUAGUCUUCUUCCCUGUGUCCAGCCAAGAGUGUAACAGGUUUGUAUUCACUGCUAUGUGGAAGACAUAUAAACAAAUGCAAAAGAAAUAAGCCAAGAAUCAUUUUCUUUUUUUCUUUUUAGGGCCACACCUGAGGCAUAAGUUCCCACGCUAGUGGUAGAAUUGGAGCUGCAGCUGCUGACCUACACCACAGCUCAUGGCAACGCCAGAUCCUUAACCCACAGAGCGAGGCCAGGGAUUGAACCUGCAUCCUCAUGGAUACUAGUUGGGUUCGUCACCUGCUGAGCCACAAUGGGAGUUCCAUUUUCUUAGGGGAGGAGGUUAAAAGAAUGAUGAAGAAUUUCCGAGGAGUGUGUGGUUGAGGGGGUAAAAUAAAAGGUUGCGAAUAUAGUCAUGUUGUGCAGAAAAUCCAUGGAUAACUUUGACAAGUGGUAUAGCCUAAUGAUGAUAAUAAUAAAGCAGUAAUAAUAGUAGUUAGCAUUUACUAAGCACCUAAGUUCACAACGACCCUAUGACUUCGUUAUUAUCAGCAUUCCCAUUUGACACAUGAGGAAAUUGAAGUCCAGAGAUGUUAACUGAUUUUCCCAAAGUCAUACAACCAGACCAAUUAUUGUGGCUCCCAGGUCCACCCGACAAGAGCUAACUUUCAUCCCUGCUGUGCACCUGUGUGUUGGAGUUCCCAUCAUGGCGCAGCAGAAAUGAAUCCGACUAGGAACCAUGAGUUUUCGGGUUCAGUCCCUGACCUCACUCAGUGGGUUAAGGAUCCGGUGUUGCCAUGAGCUGUGGUGUAGGUCGCAGACAUGGCUUGGAUCCUGCGUUGCUGUGGCUGUGGUGUAGGCUGGCACCUGUAGCUCUGAUUAGACCCCUAGCUUGGGCACUUCCAUAUGCCAUGGGUGUGGCCCUAAGGCC